rnacentral:rRNA from 1 species
CCUGAUGGUAUGAUGAGAUUUGCAUGAUAGCAUCAUUAAAGAUUUAUCGGUGUACGAUGGGGAUGCGUUCCAUUAGUUUGUUGGGGGGGGUAACGGCCCACCAAGACUACGAUGGAUAGGGGUUCUGAGAGGAAGGUCCCCCACAUUGGAACUGAGACACGGUCCAAACUCCUACGGGAGGCAGCAGUGAGGAAUAUUGGUCAAUGGACGCGAGUCUGAACCAGCCAAGUAGCGUGAAGGAUGACUGCCCUAUGGGUUGUAAACUUCUUUUAUAUGGGAAUAAAGUGGUCCACGUGUGGACUUUUGUAUGUACCAUAUGAAUAAGGAUCGGCUAACUCCGUGCCAGCAGCCGCGGUAAUACGGAGGAUCCGAGCGUUAUCCGGAUUUAUUGGGUUUAAAGGGAGCGUAGGCGGAUUGUUAAGUCAGUUGUGAAAGUUUGCGGCUCAACCGUAAAAUCGCAGUUGAUACUGGCAGUCUUGAGUGCAGUAGAGGUGGGCGGAAUUCGUGGUGUAGCGGUGAAAUGCUUAGAUAUCACGAAGAACUCCGAUUGCGAAGGCAGCUCACUGGAGUGUAACUGACGCUGAUGCUCGAAAGUGUGGGUAUCAAACAGGAUUAGAUACCCUG